rnacentral:misc_RNA from 1 species
AAAAAGUUUGGAUAUGAACUCUCAUUCCAAGUUUCCACUCAGCGUAUCUGUCCACUGUAAGCUUCCGUUGGGCGUGGGUCUUCGGAUCCCCUCCUAUCGAGCCCACUCAGGGCGCGAUUGGGAGCGUCCCGACGGGAGCCAAUAGCAAACUCAAUCUAUUUAGUUGUAUGUAUUGUCUGACAUGUUGCAAAGCAAUAUUUA